AGUCCUAUAACGAGCGNAACCCCUGUCGUUAGUUGCCAACAGGUUAUGCUGGGGAACUCUAACGAGACUGCCGGUGCAAACUGAGAGGAAGUGGGGACGACGUCAAAUCAUCACGGCCCUUACGUCCUGGGCUACACACGUGCUACAAUGGUCGGUACAGAGAGCAGCCACCUUGCGAAAGGGAGCAAAUCUUUAAAACCGGUCUCAGUUCGGAUCGCAGUCUGCAACUCGACUGCGUGAAGCUGGAAUCGCUAGUAAUCGCAUAUCAGCCAUGAUGCGGUGAAUACGUUCCCGGGCCUU
rnacentral:rRNA from 1 species